rnacentral:rRNA from 1 species
CCAAUAGCGUAUAUUAAAGUUGUUGCAGUUAAAAAGCUCGUAGUUGAAUUUUGGGUUUGGCCGAUUGGUCCGUUCUUGUAACGAGUACUGGUCGGUUGGGCCUCACCGCCUGGUGAUGCGUAAUGUCCUUUAUUGAUGUUGCGAGUAGCCAGGACUUUUACCUUGAAAAAAUUAGAGUGUUUAAAGCAGGCUUAUGCCGGAAUACAUUAGCAUGGAAUAAUAGAAUAGGACGAUGAUUCUAUUUUGUUGGUUUCUAGGACCAUCGUAAUGAUUAAUAGGGAUAGUUGGGGGCAUUAGUAUUCAAUUGUCAGAGGUGAAAUUCUUGGAUUUAUUGAAGACUAACUACUGCGAAAGCAUUUGCCAAGGAUGUUUUCAUUAAUCAAGAACGAAAGUUAGGGGAUCGAAGACGAUCAGAUACCGUCGUAGUCUUAACCAUAAACUAUGCCGACUAGGGAUCGGGCGAUGUUGUUUCAAUGACUCGCUCGGCACCUUAUG